rnacentral:rRNA from 1 species
UAGGACGACCAUAGGGGCCUGGAUAUACCCGAUCCCAUAUAUUUAUUGCUAUGGCAAUGAAUAGGGAUUUUCGAACUCGGAAGUCAAGCAGGUCUCCGUUCCGUGUUGUACUGUAUUUGCAUACGGGAAGCACGGGAAGUUGUCCGCC